ACACUGAAAUAUCAAUUAACUUGAACAGAAUAAUAUAGAAUUAAAACAUGGACAAAUAAGAGCACAAUUGAGGGUUUUUUUAAGUCGCCCCCGCAACUGUUGGUUCGGGCAAACUUGGUCACACCCCCUAUAAAGCAAAGAAUAUGUGGUUGUCGUACCUUUGAUUUUUUUUCUUUUUUUAGGUGGACUUUUUUGCAUGCACAAAACCAGGCGAUCCGCACAAUAACAUCUAUUGAAUGAGAACCGCAAGAAGAGGCCACAUUUCUCGCAGACUCUCCACUAUAAAUUGAGCACCCCACACCAACACAAUUUUUGUCAAAGUUUGUGUUAGUUGAUCGGGGACGAAGGAGGGGUAAUGCUAGUCCCGGACGAUGUUCGUGUGAUUCCAAGAUAUUUCUUUCACGGACUUGCGUAGUCUAACUGAUGAUGCUAUCUGAGGGCUUGUCGGCACCCUAUCAAGGCGACGUACAACUGGACAUGACUUUAUUGAUGUGGCAAUCAGUGUGCCUAUCGGGAAUCAUCUCGUGCACACGCUAACUGACAAAGAUAUCGAAAAGAAUGAAUUUGCUAUUCCGACAGAGUUCAUAGACUCUGACGAAAUGGAUGAAGAAGGACAAGUUCUUUUAUGGAAUAGUUUCCUAAGUGUACCCAUGACUGACACAUAUACAAGGAGCAACAACGAGACUAUGAUAGAUGAAGUCUGGCAUGAUUUUUGUUAUACCCACGGUCUCAAGAGUCGGGAGUGUUGUUUUGUUCAAAGUUGAGAAAGGACGGCAGGAUGACAACAUGUUCCUAAUAGUUGAUGUCAU